GCCAGAGUGCUGGAAUGGUAGACAGGUUAGUCUCAAAAACUAAUGCUCUUUUGGGCGUGAGGGUUCGAGUCCCUCCUCUGGUA
rnacentral:tRNA from 1 species